rnacentral:ncRNA from 1 species
UUGCUGAAUCUUGAUGGGGAAUAGUGUGCAAAUCACUAGCUGUUCCUGCAACGGUAAUAUCUAAUUGAUAAAGUCCGAGUACCAUCCAGCAA